GGAGAAAUACCCAAGCGGUUGAAGGGGACGGUUUCGAAAACCGUUAGUGGGGUCAUGCUCCAGCCAGGGUUCGAAUCCCUGUUUCUCCGCCA
rnacentral:tRNA from 1 species